CAAAAUCUGUCCAAGCCCUACUAGUUAUGGCUGAGCAGAAGAGGCUGCUCCAAGCCCAGACAGGACCCUCUGCUGUCAUGGGGAAGGGGAUGGGGUUUUCUCCUUGCACAAAGGCAUUGCAGAUUGUGUCUCUUGGCAGGAAAUAGAGCAAGGUGUGGUUUUACCUGUGGGUGAGUGACCGAGCAAGAGUCUGACUGAGGCACUCACAGACAUCCCACCAGGCCUCAUCCUCAUAUCCCAGAGGACAUCUCCAUCAGUACUGAACAAUGGACUGGAAUGGAAAUUACAUAUGAGUGCCUGACCUCUGGAAAACGACAAACUGAAGGAGGACUCGGUAUCUGGAAGCAUGUCACCACCUAGUGACGGAGCCCAGGAGUGAAUGAGAGCUCUGUGUGUGCAGCUCUAACAGGUGAGAUAAAGCAAUCGCAUGAUGGCUGAGCACAAAGCGUGUUCACACCAGAGCACAACACACAGAACUACCAGGUAAUGGUUUCAGUCCUUCCUCAGACGUUGGCUUGGACUUCUCCAGGACUGACAAAUCCCUCAGAGAAAUCGCUGUAUUUGCCAGAUAGAAAGGUGUUGCCCCUUUCCCCCGCACCUUUGGUGAUUCUGCAGAAGCCGGUGUGUGGGUGCUAAGGAUGAAUUCUUUUCUUUUGUGCCAAUGCGUGAGGGUCCUAAAAGUGCAAGUCAGCAGCGAGGCAGCUGCAGAACUGUUUUGUUUCCCAGCUGAAACAGGGAAAUUGUCACUGAAACUCGCAGGAAACUGAAAUCGGCACAGCACAAAGACUGGUGGCAUACAAGGGCAGGAAGGUGUCCUGCCCCACUGUGCCGGCUCCCAGUUUGCUAGUGAGUUGGGAAAGUCAUAUGAAAAACGUAAAACUCAGCCAGGGAAAAAAAAGUUCAAGACCGACACCAACUUCUGGACCUCCUCCCAUUUGUCCUUCCCCGAGUUUGUUUCCCCAGUGGAAAGGGACCUGCCCUUGGGCUAGAAGGGCCAGCAAGCAGCGGAGACAAGUCUCUGAACCCCUUGCAGGAGACUGAAGCCUCUCCAUACAGCUGCUUUUUAGGGUGGCAGGUUGCAACUGAGCCACAGCACCCCUGUACCUCUUCCAGGCUGUCCAAUACUCCUCCCUGAGUGCCCUCACUGCUGGUGGUCGGCAGCCAGGUUUGCCCACCUGGAACACAUGCUGUGUCUUACAUUAUCGCCUCCUGUUGUAACUCAGUUCCUUGUCCCUUACGAGCAGCAGUGACAAGCGUGUGUUGCACAGACCCUCCAGCCCGCUUCCUUUGUUAUUUCAGCUGGUUUUAGCUUUAAACUAUUUUCCUGGUCAUUAUUCUCAUCCUAAAUAUUUAGGCGAUAGAAGUCAAAAGAAUGUGAGCACUGCCUGGCCGGUGUAUGCCCGACCUGCAGCAAAUCCAAAAGACAGCUUCAGGCUGGCCCCACCAUGUGUAAGUCUAAGCAAGAGCCGUGUCCACAUUUGUACUCUGGUGUUCAGACUUUUCAAAUCGAGCUCUUCUCUCUCCCAGAUGCAGGCGCCGCACUCUGUGCUGGUGGACACAGCAGGCAGAAUUGGUGGGGCUUCCUAAGAUCCCAGUUCCCUCUUGAUGGCUUCUGACUGCCAGGGGCUCCCCGCUGGGACACGGGAGGUGUACACGGGCCAGCAAACCCCUCCGGAGCAAGGGCUCUCCUCUAAGGACUGCUAGAGGGAACGAUUUCUUUCUAUUUGUUCUGAAAUAUUCCGAGCAAAGUCCUCUUCCAGUUCCGGUUUCCUAACAAACCACAAAGCCCCACACUGCCUUUCAUGCCAGCACAUUGUCCGCUGCCCAGCAAACCCC